GGGGAUGUGGCCCAGUGGUAGAGCUCUUGCUUUGCAUGCAUAAGGCCCUGGGUUCCAUUCCCAGCACCA
rnacentral:tRNA from 1 species